rnacentral:rRNA from 1 species
GACGAACGCUGGCGGCGUGCUUAACACAUGCAAGUCGAACGCGCCUGUCCUCUGGGUUUCUGGGGGGUGGGUGAGUGGCGAACGGGUGAGUCACACGUGAGUAACCUGCCCCCUUCUUCGGGAUAACGGUCUGAAAGGGCUGCUAAUACCGGGUAUUCACUGGUCUCCGCAUGGGGUCUGGUGGAAAGGUUUUUUUCUGGUGGGGGAUGGGCUCGCGGCCUAUCAGCUUGUUGGUGGGGUGAUGGCCCACCAAGGCUUUGACGGGUAGCCGGCCUGAGAGGGUGACCGGUCACAUAGGGACUGAGAUACGGCCCAGACUCCUACGGGAGGCAGCAGUGGGGAAUAUUGCACAAUGGGCGAAAGCCUGAUGCAGCGACGCCGCGUGAGGGAUGGAGGCCGUCGGGUUGUGAACCUCUUUCGCUCGUGGUCAAGCCGUGACGUGGGUCGUGGUGAGGGUAGUGGGUAAAGAAGCGCCGGCUAACUACGUG